GUCUAUGGCCACGCCACCCUGAACAAGCCCGAUGUCUGAUCUCAGAAGCUAAGCAAGGUCGGGUCUGGUUAGUACUUUGAUGUGAGACCACCUAGAAAGACCAGGUGCUGUAGGCA
rnacentral:rRNA from 1 species